CACAGACAGGAAUUGCUCUAAAGAACCUUUCUAAACAGCCUCCAGAUUAAACCCAAAACAGAACCACAGAGAUGGACAAAAGACAACAAGGCACCCAAACUUACCGACUGGAAAAACACUCCACUAUUUGGGUCAGGGGUCUCCAGAGAAUCCCAGACAAAUCCCCCAAAUGGUAAGAGGUCAUACACUGCUAUCAGAUGGGGAGCUUCUGCAACCACAGAGGUAAAUGAACAAAGGCAAGGGAAGCCCAGGAUG